rnacentral:rRNA from 1 species
AUUGAACGCUGGCGGUAUGCUUAACACAUGCAAGUCGAACGCGAAAGAGGUCUUCGGACCUCUCUAGAGUGGCGCACGGGUGAGUAACGCGUAGAUAAUCUACCUCUAUAUUUGGGAUAACAGUUCGAAAGGACUGCUAAUACCGGAUACACUUAUUUGAACGCGAGUUUGAGUGAGGAAAGGUGACCUCUCCUUGGAAGUUACUGUAUAGAGAUGAGUCUGCGUACCAUUAGCUAGUAGGUAGGGUAAAGGCCUACCUAGGCUACGAUGGUUAGCGGGUCUGAGAGGAUGAUCCGCCACACUGGAACUGGAACACGGACCAGACUCCUACGGGUGGCUG